GCAUGAGCCACCGUGCCCAGCCUCUGCUUUCUGUCUCUGUGAGUUUGACAACUCUAGGUGCCACAUCUGAGUGGAAUCGUACAGUCAUUUGUCCUCUUGCAACUGGCUUUCUUUCACUUUGCUUGAUAUCUUCAAGCCCCAUCUGUGUUGUAGCAUGCAUCAGAAUUUCCUUCCUUCUUAGGGCUGAUUACAGUCCCCAUUGUAUGGAUAGAGGACGUUUUCUUUGCUGUUCAUCCUUCAGGUAUGGAGAAUAUCUCGCAUAGUAGAAAGAAUCAAAGAAGCCUGUGAGGACUUCAUCUUGGCUGCUCAUACUCUGUGUACCUCCACCUUUUGUGGGGGUUGGGUGGACAACCUGAAGCUACCUGCUCAUCCUGCAUGGAGCAGAUCGGCCGGUGCUGGAAGCAGAGGAUGCAAACUGGAGCAGGAGACAGUUCCUGCCCUCAAGUGUGGCAGUGACAUGCCAUGUUAGUGCCAGCCUUUCUGGUGCUUUGUAAAGUGAAGAAAAGAGCUUGUAUCCAUCCUGAAGGCUUUGUGACCACCGGCCUUCUGAUGGAUGCUUCUGUGUUCCCAGAGUUAGGUGAGAGCUCUUGGAAGGAUCUCUUUGACCCCAGGUUCGCUAAGAAUGGAAAGCCCCUCUGUGAGACUGCAGUAGCUAGUGCGAUCAUCUGGUUACUUGCACCAGAGCCUGGGAGUUUGUGGCCUGCCAAGCUCACCUCUCAUACUGAGAUACCAAUAAAUAUUAUCCGAGGGUGACACCCAGAAAUAGAGUUUUAAAAAUAUUUAGAGAGAUGAAAAAUAGCCACCAGUAGAAUUAAAAUCAGAAAUAACGACAAGGUUGGUCAGCGGAGUUGGUAAGUCCAAAUUGGGGAAUGUGAUGUUUCAUUAUAAGCUCUUUCAGCAUUUGCUUACUUUGGUGUAAGUGAAAGAAUUGUCUCAUUUUUUUUGAGAGAAGGACUCACCAUCUGUCAGACACACUGGUCAGUUUACCUGACAAGGCAGAGUUGGAGGCUUCUGUCCUCAGUGGCUGCCCCUAGGUGAUGAUGGCUCUGUGGGUGCCCACCAUGGCCCACUGGAAGUGUGAGAGCGCAGGGAGCAACAUGUUGGACCACAGGGUGAGGCCAGGCCCUGUCUCCCACGGCCAGGAGCGAGGACGUGGAGCUGCCCUAGGAGGGCUGUGUGCCCGAGUGCCAGGAGCUGGCUGCCCCGUGGCCAGAGAUCCUCAUGCCCGAGGAGCAGGAGUGCCACUACCUCAGCCUUGAUGGGGACUCCAGCUUCGACUAUGUGAAUAACACCUCUGAGGAGAAGGACUACGACAAGAGCCUGCCUGAGGAAGAGGGCAUCACCUAUAUAUCUGCUACCGCCCCGAGGAUGACAGCUACCUGGAGGGCAUGGACUACAACUGGGAGGUGUACCUGGCCCACGGCAUGCAUCCUGUGGACACCGACGAGUGCCAGGAGGCGGUGGAGGAGUGGGUAGAGGGCAGACCCGGCGGACCUGCACCCUUACGGCCAUGGGGCUGUGGGAAGCCAGGAUUACCCGGACGGCCACCUGCCCAUCCUGGAGGAUGAGCCCUCUGUCCUGGAGGCCCAUGACCAGGAAGAAGAUGGCCACUACUGUCCCAGCAAAUAGGGCUACCAGGAUUGCUACCCCCUGGAGGCCAAUGGGAACACCAGUGCCUCCCUCUACCACCUGAGGUGUGGGGUUGGGGACGUGGAGGACCAGGAGGAGGACAUCAACCAGAUCGUGGCCGAGAUCAACAUGAGCCUGAGCAUGACCAGCAUCACUAGCACCAGCGAGGCCAGUGAUUCUGCAGAGGCCAGCCUGCCUGCCCAGCAAGACCAGCUGCAGCCCCAGCAGGCACAAAACGAGGCCCAAGUCACUGAACCUCCCUCCUGAGGCAAAGAACCGUAGAGACCCUCAGAGAGGCUUCAAGCCCAAGAUCAGGACCCCAGAGGAGAUGCUGAAGUGGCCCCACAAGCAGGUAGGACUCUGGCUGUCUCAGGGAAGGGAGCAGAGGGGCCCAAGAGCAAGAAAUGUCCCGGUACAGCCCCCACAUAUGCUGAAGUGAGGCGGUGGGAGGGGUUGUGUGCCUUGCAGUUUUUUUUUUUUUGUUUUUUGUUUUUGUUUUUGCCUUGCGGUUCUAAUGGUGGAUGAGCUCUUCAUUGGUCCAGUUGCCAGGCAUGUUGUGUGCAUGUUCCGGCCACUCUUAUGCUCACCCCUCAGACUCAGGAGUAGAGUCUUGUUGAAGACUGAUUGGCAACUAGUUUUUGGCAGAAGAUGCCUCUCCUCCCACCUAGAAGUGGUUCGAUAUCUUCCCCACUGCCCUGGAUCUGCUUGUGGUGGGGCAGUGUCUGUGGGAGAGCCCCUCAAUCCUCAGGGGUGUACUUGUUCCAGCGAGGCAGUGGCAAAGAUAUGGCCAGUGGUGGGUGGCCUGGUGGCUGGGGUGGGGCCUGGAGUGUAUUUCGUAGUGGAUAGGUCUCUGAAAGCCCAGGGACCUUGGCCUGAAGGGCAGUUAGCUGUGAAUAACUAUUUGGAAAAGGAUCCUGCAGAUCUGAUCUUACAGCAUUGUUGCAUAGGUGUAUACAUGCCAUGGUGGUUUGCUGCCUCCAUCUCCCUGUCACCAACAUUAGGUAUUUCUCCUAAUGUUAUUGCUCCCCAAUCCCCCCACCCCCUGCU